rnacentral:tRNA from 4 species
GCCGAGGUGGCGGAAUUGGCAGACGCGCCAGGUUGAGGGCCUGGUGAACAGAAAUGUUCGUAAGGGUUCAAGUCCCUUCCUCGGCACCA